GAGGUUUUCUUUGGUCAGCUUACCUUUGCUUGGUUUGGGUGAGGUUUACUUUUGUCAGCCUACCUUUGCUUGGUUUCAGUGAGGUUUUCUUUGGUCAGCUUCUUUGCUUGGUUUAGGUGAGGUUUUCUUUGGUGAUUUUGUUUCUGAGGGUUUUUU